AUUGAACGCUGGCGGUAUGCUUAACACAUGCAAGUCGAACGGUAACAGGCCUUCGGGCGCUGACGAGUGGCGGACGGGUGAGUAACGCGUAGGAAUCUGCCUCAUAGUGGGGGACAACGUGGGGAAACUCACGCUAAUACCGCAUACACCCUACGGGGGAAAGCGGGGGAUCGUAAGACCUCGCGCUAUGAGAUGAGCCUGCGUUAGAUUAGCUAGUUGGUAGGGUAAAGGCCUACCAAGGCGACGAUCUAUAGCUGGUCUGAGAGGACGAUCAGCCACACUGGGACUGAGACACGGCCCAGACUCCUACGGGAGGCAGCAGUGGGGAAUAUUGGACAAUGGGCGCAAGCCUGAUCCAGCAAUACCGCGUGUGUGAAGAAGGCCCUAGGGUUGUAAAGCACUUUCUAUAGGGAGGAAAACCUGCCGGUCAAUACCCGGUAGCUUGACAUUACCUAUAGAAGAAGCACCGGCUAACUCCGUGCCAGCCGCCGCGGUAACAC
rnacentral:rRNA from 1 species